rnacentral:rRNA from 1 species
UACGUAGGUGGCAAGCGUUGUCCGGAAUUAUUGGGCGUAAAGCGCGCGCAGGCGGAUCAGUAAGUCUGUCUUAAAAGUUCGGGGCUUAACCCCGUGAGGGGAUGGAAACUGUUGGUCUAGAGUAUCGGAGAGGAAAGCGGAAUUCCUAGUGUAGCGGUGAAAUGCGUAGAUAUUAGGAAGAACACCAGUGGCGAAGGCGGCUUUCUGGACGAAAACUGACGCUGAGGCGCGAAAGCCAGGGGAGCGAACG